rnacentral:rRNA from 1 species
GAUCCUGGCUCAGAACGAACGCUGGCGGCAGGUCUUAGGCAUGCAAGUCGAACGGAUGACAAGGGAGCUUGCUUCCUUGAAGUCAGUGGCGCACGAGUGAGUAACGCGUGGGAAACUGCCCUUCACUGGGGAAUAACGUUUGGAAACGAACGCUAAUACCGCAUACGCCUGCAAGGGGAAAGAUUUAUCGGUGAUGGAUGUGCCCGCGUUGGAUUAGCUAGUUGGUGGGGUAAUGGCCUACCAAGGCGAUGAUCCAUAGCUGGUCUGAGAGGACGAUCAGCCACGCUGGAACUGAGACACGGUCCAGACUCCUACGGGAGGCAGCAGCUAAGAAUAUUGGGCAAUGGAGGAAACUCUGACCCAGCCAAUGCCGCGUGAAUGAAGAAGGCCUUCGGGUUGUAAAGUUCUUUUAGUCAUGAAGAUGAUGACAGUAGUGACAGAAAAAGCACCGGCUAACUUCGUGCCAGCAGCCGC